rnacentral:rRNA from 1 species
CCUACGGGUGGCAGCAGUGGGGAAUAUUGGGCAAUGGGCGCAAGCCUGACCCAGCAACGCCGCGUGAAGGAAGAAGGCUUUCGGGUUGUAAACUUCUUUUCUCAGGGACGAAGAAAGUGACGGUACCUGAGGAAUAAGCCACUGCUAACUACGUGCCAGCAGCCGCGGUAAUACGUAGGUGGCAAGCGUUAUCCGGAUUUACUGGGUGUAAGGGGCGUGUAGGCGGGAAAGCAAGUCAGAUGUGAAAACCAUGGGCUCAACCUGUGGCCUGCAUUUGAAACUGUUUUUCUUGAGUACUGGAGAGGCAGACGGAAUUCCUAGUGUAGCGGUGAAAUGCGUAGAUAUUAGGAGGAACACCAGUGGCGAAGGCGGUCUGCUGGACAGCAACUGACGCUGAGGCGCGAAAGCGUGGGGAGCAAACAGGAUUAGAUACCCGGGUAGUC